AUGAACCCAUCACAAAAUUUUAAACCAAGCCUGAUCCCAGAAUCUUUACAAAUGCUCACUGAAAAAAAUUCCCAAGAUUAUUCAGGAGCUUCUUAUAACUUCUGUUCCAAGAUGUUUAUAAAGGACCUUAGUUACUUGACUCUCAACUCUGGUACCAAAUUCCCCUUUUCUUUCCUCAAAAGGUUACCCCAACAACAGAAUAGAAGAGAAAUGAUCUUACAGGACAUCAUAGUUGGCUUGCUUUACAGGAGGAGAGGAGUAAGAACAUGGCUCUCUGCAGAAAGAAAGAAUGGUAAAAUUGAGAUACUUGUUACUCGGCAUACUUCCUAGGCUUAAAAGAGAACAGACACUGGGCUUAAGGGAGUUCAGAAUGAAUCAAGGAGUGAAUCAUUCAAAUGUGGCUGCAGUUUUGCAUGUAUCACAAAUGGGAUCCUUCUGAGAAUGCUAGUAUAGGAAAUUGUGACACUGAGCUAAUUCAGCCAUAA
rnacentral:lncRNA from 1 species